GGGGAGGAAAGCAAUGGCAAACCUUUUCCUCCAAAGUGAUUUGUCAUUGCCUUCCUUUCUUCUUUAUUUUUGUGCUGGAAAAAGAAAGGGGGAAGGAGUUCCCAGUCUCUUCCUUUCUGCUCCUGCUUUCUCAGCCAAGCAGCUUCUUAGCAGAGCACUACUGGGGAAGUCAGCUGUACAGAAUAAGGCUUUGUUUUUGUUUUGUUUUUUUCCAUGUCAGGAGCAACUUGAGUCGCUUCUGGAGUGAGAGAAUUGGCCGUCUGCAAGGACGUUGCCCAGGGGACGCCCAGAUGUUUUGAUGUUUUAUCAUCCUUGUGGAGCUGGAGCUGAUAGAGGGAGCUCAUCCGCACUUUCCCCGGGUGGGAUUCAAACCUGGCAGCUUUCAGGUCAGCAACCCAACCUUCAAGUCACGAGGCUUUAGUCCACUAUGCCACCAGGGGCUCCUACAGAAUAAGGUGCCCAGCCAUGAGAUCAAUGGCUUCUUCUUAUGUCAAAGCAAAUGACUGGGAAGCUGUUUGGCUGGGAAGGCAGCAGCAAGAAAUCAUCUUGGAAGAUAAGAAAAAAUAAAAAUAGUGUUGAUUAGAAUUCAGGUUGUGAAGAGCAAUUUGGACGCAGUACAUUACAGGUUAGGUGAAUCCGAGAUGAAUCCAGGGGUUGAAUAAUCUGAAUUGUAUCUGGGUUAUUUGGGUGUUGUAGACAAGAUGUUGAACUGUGGUGUUGGAGGAAAAUUCUGACAGUGUCUUGGACUGCAAGAAGAUCAAAUCAGUCCAUACUCCAGGAAAUAAUGCCCAACUGCUUACUGGAGGGAAGGAUGUUAGAGGCAAAGAUUAAGUACUUUGGCCACAUUAUGAGAAGACAGGAAAGCCUGGAGAAGAUAAUGAUGCUGGGGAAAAUGGAAGGAAAAAGGAAGCGGGACUGACCAAGGGCAAGAUGGAUGGAUGGGAGCUUUGGAGUGGGCUGGUCCAUGAGAUCACGAAGAGUCGCAAGUGACUGAACGAAUAAACAACAACAACAACAGACAAGAUCUUAGUUAACCAGAAUAAAAAAACUAACAUAAGAAA